UUUAAGUUGGUUCAACUUUUUGGUGUAAGUUGACAUUACUCAGUAAAUUGAGUUAGGUGAACUACAUCAUCCAAGAGUUGAGUAAACUCAAAAAAGCUGUGCAGCAAGUUGCCUUGAAAAUUUAAGUUAAGUCAACUUUUUAUUUUUUUACAGUGCAGGUUAUUUUGAGGUUUUUUAUUUAUAACCUAAAGGGAACCUUCCCGGAACGUUCCCUGCAGGUUAUUUGUAGGUUUUUUAUUAAUAACCUAAAGAGAACCUUCCCAGAACGUUCCCUGCAGGUUAUUUUUAGGUUUUUUAUUUAUAACCUAAAGAGAACCUUCCCGGAACGUUCCCUGCAGGUUAUUUUUAGGUUUUUAUUUAUAACCUAAGGGGAACCUUCCCGGAACGUUGCCUACCUCCUGAAAAAAACAGCUUAAACCAGGCUAAGCUGGUUGGUUUUAGCUGGUUUAAGAUGGAAAUAGCUGGCCAGGCUGGUCAAGCUGGUUUCCCAGCCUGGUCAAGGUGGUCUCCCAGGCUGGCCAAGCUGGUCUCCCAGGCUGACCAGGCUGGUCAAGCUGGUCUCCCAGCCUGGCCAGUCUGGUAUUAUGGCUGGUCUCCCAGCCUGGCUGGUCAAGCUGGUCUCCCAGCCUGGCCAGCUUAAACCAGCUAAGACAAGUCAGCCUGACCACCAAGCAGGCAUGACCAACCUUCAACGUUGAAAUUUGGUUAAAAUAACCUCAGUUGUUUUUUCAACAUUGAUACAAUGUUGAAACAACGGUGAAUGGUAAACGAUUGCAAAAGGUUAAUACAAUGCUUAAAAAUCAACGUUGAAAUUUGGUUGAAAUAAUGUCAGUACGAUGAAUGGUAAACGGUUGUUUUAUGACAUUUUAAUUUGUGAAUCCUUUAGAUAAAAAUUUAAAAACUCAUUUAAUGAAAAUACUUAUUUUUAUAAAAUUUAACAAAAGUAAUUGAUCAAGUUAAAAAUAUAUUAGACACAUGCAAAUAAAUCAUCUUUAUAUCUUUAUUUCUCCCUUUUAAAACAAGUGCCUUUUUGGUAAAUAUUUUUCUAGGUUCCUCAUAUUAUAUAAUGUUUAAGAAGCUAAAAAUAUUUUUUGUAUACUAUUUGAUUGAUUUAAACACUGGUGGGGCAUUUGAUUUCCAUAUUAAUUUAGGAGAUGGAUUAGGCUUUUGUAAGCAUUAUUAUGGUUGUUUUAUUUUUAUUAUAUUUUCAUCACAAUGUCUAAAAUAUAACGUUUCAAAUAUACAUUUUAAGAAUACCAUUAAUAAUAUAAUAACAUACAACCUUUUAUCUGCUUACUUUACGGUGCACAGACAGCUCCCUCAGCCUUUUGUAAGCAAAACAUGCCCAUGCGGGCCCACUGUGAGGUAUACUGUGGGACAGUGUGGGCAGGGCAAACUUACACCACAUCUCAAAUGGGCCCCCAAAUUAUCAUUGGUAGCUAUUAUCUUAGCAGAUCCUUUUCUUUUGAUGUUUGUUGUUGUUAAAUCAAAAACCAGUUACUACACUUGUAUUAUAAUAAAACAAUUGUUUUAUUUUUAUUUUUUCAUAAAGCUCUGUCCAUUUAGAACAAAAUGUGCAUGCAUGUUUAUGAAAUAAUUGAACCCACCCCCGGGUGAAGAUCUAAAAAGCUAUGUAAGCACAAUAUGUCUGUUUAUUUUAAUACAAGAAAUGUUUAUUGUUAAACAAGUUCUAAAUUUCAGUUCAGUCUGGACGUGGGACAUCUUUUUUACCAUCUUUAUUGUUCUUUAACAUGUUGUCUUUUGUUAUGUGUUAUUAGCUAUGGUUAUUAGUCAUGUUCGACUUCGUGCAGCACUGCGAGAACCGACAUCAUACGUUGAUGACGUCAAUGUAUCGCGAGAGCGAGUCAAGAAAUUACACUCUCGCGGUACAUUGACGUCAGCGCAGCAAGAAGUCGAACACACGUAUUUGCGUGCGCGCGCCUCGGUCCUUGUGAGUUCAAAGUGGAUUUUAACCGUUUACCUCAGACGACAGUUUUCAUUUCUAUGGUAAAUUCUAAGGUCAUUUUCUUGUUGUGUUGUGAUGUGUUCCAUUGGCUGAAGAGCAGAUUACCAUGCAAUUUGAUGAAGUGUGAUAAAAUACACAGAGGUGAAGUCACGUGUCUUUCCAGAUGCCUAAAUCUGUACCACUCAAAAGGUAAUGAAGUGACAGUGUACCAUGACAAAUAAUGUAAACAUUAUUUCUUUCAAAGUUGUACUUGGGCCACAGUUUUUUGUAUUUCUAACCAAAACAUUACAUUUAUGAUUCUAUACUAAUGAAAUAUGUUUUUCUUUUUCCAAACUUUAUCAAAUGCAAUGAUCGCUAAGAUGAGCCUGAAGAGGAGAUUUGGGAAGAUGCUGUUUCAUAAGUCUUUGCUUUGCCAGAUCACCUGUGGUAAGUUUGUAAAAGAUAUAUUAAAAAUAGGACCAGAACAUCUCCUAAUCAAAUUUUUUGAUCAGGUCGGUGAUGCCUUGGUGGUCUGGGCGAGUUUGAAGUCUCUCACAGACAGUCCAGAAGGUCUGGAGUCCAUGUUAGCUUUUAUUGAUUAACUACAUACGGUCCUUUGGGGGAGCCAACCCAGGUGAAGUCCACUGAAGUCCUGAGUGCCUACAGCAUGAAAGGGAGGAAGGCAAUAUCCAAUUUAAAGAGACAGAAUAAGAUUGGACCAGAAUAUCACACUCUAAAUUCUGCUGGGUUAUUUUGAACCCAAUGCUGGGUAAAUAUUGGACAGAACACAUGGGUUACCUUUUAAAUAAAGCACUGCAUUGAAACAACCCAGUAUAGGUUUAUUUAUUAUUUACUAAUGCAGUAUGCCUACUAGAAAUGGGUAAAUGAAGGCAUGCUCAAGAAGAAAAGUGGCCAAGGAGAAAAUGCAUUACGUUAGGACUGAUGUGAUUUGUAACUGGUACUGAUGUGCUUAUAAAAUAAGAAAAACAUAUAAAUGAUCAGAUUAUCAACUUGCAUAAUUAUGCAUGUAGUAAUCAUAACAACAGUUACAACCAUACAUCACAAUUGUGGUUAUACAGGAGUAUGAGUAUGGCUGCGUUUACAUUUUGCAUUAACAUGCGAUCUCGGUGAUCCGUUCACGCAGAUCCGAUCAUUCGUAUAUCAGGACACGGCGCGUUUACAUUUGUCACAUAAAUGUGGCUUCUGUAUCUGGAUGUGUGAUCGGAUCCCGUGCAGGGAGACGCGCGCUGGGUGGAUAGCUGUCAAUCAAAAUGGGUACAGCUGUCUUUAGCCACAGGAUUUAGGGUUUUCGCGCUAACCGCAAUCCCGUAUUGUACAGUGCUACUGAGAAGCCAACAGCAGAGAAUAACUAGCAACCCCAACAACCGUGAUGUUCACAUUUUAAGCGUUAUAUUUUUUAGCUUUAAAAGCCUUAUCUUUAAAAGCCUUAUAGCGUCCGCACCGCGGAUGAAUGUCCUGUUUAACUUGUCCUGAACUUGACUUUCACCCGCAUGCUUUAAAUCAACAACAAAAUCCGCGUGAAACAUGACCGACUCCACUGUUUUAUUCUGCCUUAAUAACGGGCUUUUGGCUCUGCCUGAACUUAUGUAUAUUUAUAUUUUAACCAUAAACUGUUGUUAGUUAUGUUUCCUGGUAAUUUUAAUAUGAUUUGAUUAAAAGAGCUAACAAUUUCCUAAAUUUCCUGAAUCCUGUUGAUAGUGCGUAAGAAGUAAUGUAAUUUACAAACACAUAUAAGUAACCUUGCAUAAAACCAACACUGAAUAAAUGUAUUUGGUUAAUGUUAUUAUGGUUUGUACGUGUUUUAAAGUAACUUAAAAUGUAUUAAAUGAGACAGAAACAGCCGAUUGACCAGAAAGAAGCGCAACAUUCACGUUGAUAUGUCACCAUGGAAACUCAAACAUUAUAACGAUCCUGAAUUCUGCCAUUAAAUAUUAAAUCUCUCUACGAAUAGGAACAUAUAUGCCUGAAUAACUUAAAUACAGUCAGCAGUGUUAAAAUGCUUUUGAAUAUCGAUUUAUUAAGAUACUUUUAAGCGUAGCUUCCAUUGCUCCACAAAUAUAUGCGUCUCUCACCUGCGCUACAUGACAUAACGUCCUUUAUUUUUGACAGCUGUCAGUGAAAGGAGAUGAUAGUGGGCGGGGUUUUGUGUGACGUUGGCCUGCAAAUGCAGAUACGAUGGCUGGAUUGCGUUUACGUUACACUGAGAUCCGAUCACAAUGCGUCCUCGACUACCUCUGCAUCAGGACACACAGAUCGGAUAACAUUCCGAUCACAGACGCGUUUACACUUGUCUUUUCAAUGUGUAUGUGGACAACAUCCGGAUACAGGUCGCAUGUUAAUGCCAAGUGUAAACGCAGCCAUAUGACAUGACAUGAUGAACUUGUAUGUUUAAUUCAGGGGUGGCAAACGUUGGUCCUGGAGGUCUGCAGUCCUGCAGAGUUUAGCUCCAGCUCUAAUCAAACACACCUGAACAGGCUAAAAUCAAGGUCUAAAGAGUUACUAGAAAGCUACGGGCAGGUGAGGUUUUAUCAGGGUUGGAGCUAAAAUCUGCAGGACUGCCCUCUCCAGUACCGAUGUUCGCCAUCCCUGGUUUAAGUGGUACAUAUUUUACAAGGCCAAUUCUUAUGAAUUUGUACAGUAAAUCAUACAAAUACCUAUGACUAUUAUUAAAAUAAGAAUGAAUUAAAUUAGUACAAUGAGCCACCUCAUAACAUACAUAGUACUAAUUGCCAUGAGAUUGUGUUUUUUUUAUAAUCAGCUGAAAAAUUUAUUUAAUUCUUUCAUCGAAUUGUAUUUACAAUCUACACAUUAUAGAAAUUAUUGACUGUGAUUAUUUUAUUUUAUUAACAGAAUCAACACAGAAAAACUACAAGGCAUUAAAGGCCCUUGACGUGGAAGACUUAAUUGCAUUAACCCUGAAAUUUGCCCCACACAGAAAUUUAAAAUGAUGGGAGAGAUUGCUGUGGAGUUCUGAAGUUCAUCGUUUAAAGCGUAACUAAACCCCUGGUCAGAGCCUGACUCCACCCACUGCAAUAUUUGAAAAAUGCAAGAAAAGUAGGCAGAUCCCAACGGAGAAAGAGGGGAUGAACUAAGCUCGUACCAAGUGUGUGGUGAGAUCGUAAUAAGGGUGUGGUAAGCUUGAACCUGCUUACGUCACAAGUUCUUUUUUGGACCCAACAUCCAAUAGAAAAUUCAACUGCAGUAGCCACCGUUCAACCUGAAGAGGGCAGCACUUAGAUGUUUUUACACCAUAUUGUAGUAUUGAAACACUUUAUAUCCAAAUGUCAAAAAACUUACUAAAAUCAAUGAACAGCACUAAUAAACCAUCAUUCUUACAGAUCAUUAACUAAAAAAAGUUGGUUUAGGGUUUAGUUACUCUUUAAAUGUUUUCGUUUUUAAUAUAUUAAAAUGUUUUUUAUGAUACAAUGUUCUACAUGUCUAUUGCCAAUUUUAUGUGUUAUAUAAGCAAAUUAUCUACCCUAUUAUAUUAUUAUCUAAGUCUAUAAAUUCUAUAAAUGUUCCUGUGAUUAAUGAUUUUGAUUUGUCUACGAAUAAAGAAUGGAUCAACAUGGAUUGUGUGAUUAUUUGUUCAUUUAAAUAGAUUAUAUAUAAAUAAACUUAGUUUAUAUAGUGAAAUCGUUUUUUUUUUAAUGAUUUAAUUGCGAAUUUUUAUUAUUAAUGGUGCCUAAAUAUAGGGAAUAACUAGAGGUUUUGAGAACGUUCCGGGAACGUUCUGGCAAGGUUCUGCAAACGUUCUGAGCAGGUUAGAUUGAUGUUUCCCGAAUGUUCCCGAAACGUUCCGACAAGGUUAGGGGAACGUUCUGAGAACCUAAAAAUAACGUUCUAUUUCCGUAAAGAAAACUUUCCUGGGGAACCAACAGGGAACGUUUAAAAAAUAACGUUCUGGGAACCAAAAACUAACGUUC